rnacentral:tRNA from 1 species
GCCACCUUAGCUCAGCUGGUAGAGCGACGGUAUCGUAAACCGUAGGUCGUCGGUCCGACCCCGACAGGUGGCUCAA